ensembl:lncRNA
CAGCAUAUGAAAAUACAUGUAGUUCUGACAGAUUUACUUUUAUACCAAAUAAUGCUGAGCUAAUUAAAGAAGACAUAAAUAGCUGAAGGAAUAUCUCACACUCCUGGAUCAGUUUUUCAAAAUAAGAUGUCAAUUUUCUGCCAAACUUUCUAUAUAGAUUCCAUACAAUCCCAAAGCUCUGAUGAGCCAGUAUUGUGUUCUUGUAGAAAUUUACAACCUCAUUCCAAAAUUUGUAUGGAAAUACAAAAGCCACAGUGAAAACCACUUUGAAAGAAAGCUGGAGAAAACAGUCUGACUCCAUAGUAACAUAUUUAUCAACAACUGUAAAAUAUUGUUACAAUAACAUAUUGAUCAAUGGAAUAUGCAGGUACACAAUAAACUAGAAUAGAGUCCAGAAAUAGAUUAAGAUAUACAUGCCCAAUUCAUUUUUUAUAAAGUGUCAGGGUAGUUUAACAAGGAUAGGACAUACUUUUCAACAAAUAGUGCUAGAACUAGACAGCCAUAUGCAAAAUAAAAUCACCAUCAUCUUGCUCUUCUUAUACAAAGUUAUGCAAAAAGUUAAUUACAAAUGGAUUAUAAAUCUAACUGUAAGAGCUAAAACUAUAAAACUCCUAAAAGAAAAUAUAAAGUCUUAGUAACCUUCAUUUGGGCAGUUUCUUAAAUUCAAUAUUAGUAUGAACUUUAAAAGGGAGUAAGACAGCCUUUGUGAAAAAUUUAAAACUUUUGCUUUCAAACAAUGCUUUUGAAAAAUGAAACAGGGUGAAGGAUGUAGCUCAAUGAUACAUUUUUAACUAGCAUGUGUGAGGUCCUAUGUUGGAUCCACUUCACCACACACACACACACACACACACACACACAAAGUGUGGCAGAGUACACUCAGUACAUUUGCAGCCCAGGGCUCAAUGUCCAGCACCAAAAAAAAAAGACAGUUUUUAUCUUUCAGAUUGAGAGAAUGUGUUUGCAAAACAUACUACCUGACAAAGAAUUUUUAUCUAGAGAAUAUAAAGAACCUUAUUACUCAAGAAAAUAAUUUUUAAAAUAUGGUGAAAAGACAUGAAAUAACACUAUACCAAGACAGAUACAGAGUAAAGAAGCACAUAAAAUGAUGUUCAGUAUUAUUAGUCUUUAAAGAAAUACGAAUUAAGAAGCCACCCAGACACCAGUGGCUGGGCAGCAGACUCCAGCUAGAUGCCUGCUGGGACAAUAGUGGUGAGGAUGCACAGACCUCAGGCAGGGUCCCACCCAGACACCACCAACUUGGGCAUGUAGGCGCCAGCCAAAGGCCCAUCUGGAAAACAGCUGUGCAGGCUUGCAGACCUAGCCAAAGACCUGGCAAGAUACCAUUGGUAAGUGUACACAGGCUCCAGCUAGAAGCCUGCAGGGACAACAGCCCAGUGCGGGGUUCCAGAAGCCAUCAUUCUGAAACAGGUAUUGGCAUAGUGGUGACCAGCAGAGAGGCCUCUCUGAGGCUUGCUGAGAAUUAAAGCCCACUGGGAUAGCAGUCACCUCAAUAAAGGCACAGAAGACUGCAUUAGUUGAAUGAGAAGAUGCCUAAACAAGGCUCAAAACCAGACUUCCAGAUCACCAAAGGCAACCUCAAGGGGCAAUGAGAUAAAACAAUCUGAAACUCAACCACGUGGACUCUAAACUAGCAAUGACAGGGGAUCUGGAAAAAAUAAAAUCAGAAAUAAUUUCUCAGGGGCCGGGGAUUUAGUUCAGUGGUUUUGCCGCCUGCUGCGCAAGCGCAAGGACCCAAGUUCAAUCCCCGGUACCAAAAAAAGAAAAAUAAUUUCUCAGACAACAGAUAUAAUGUCUAUAGGGAAAGACAUGAUUAACAACUCUGGAGCAGACACAGAUAAAAAAAAUAACAGAGGAGCUGAGAAAAUAAUGGCAUCCCAGCAUAGGAAACAAAUGGAAUCCAUAAAACAGAUGCAAACAGAUAUCCAAGAGAUUAAAAACUCCACUGAAAGUUUAUACAGCAGAAUGACCCAAUGUGAGGACAGAGUAUCAGAUAUAGAAGACAGGACUGCAAUUAGUGACCAGGAAAAGAAAGAUUUCUUAAAAAGACCAAGGGACCAUAAGAAAUUGAUCCAGCACCUGCUAGAUGAUGCAAAGAAUAACAUAAGACUGAUCAGUCAAUGAAGAAACAGGAGAGAGUGCAAAUAACAUAAAAAAAUUGCUCAAAGGGCUGAGGAUUUAGCUCAGUGGUUUCACCACUUGCUGUGCAAGCACAAGGACCCGAGUUUGAUCCCCAGUACCCCCCGAAAAAAAAUGCUCAAAGAAGUACUGGCAGAAAACUUCCUAAGCAAGGGAAAAGAAUUUGACAUAUAGAUAACUGAGGCAUGAUCCAACUAGCAAUGAUCAAACACAAUCUACACAGAGACAUAUAAUAGUCAAGAUUCCAGAAACCCAACUGAAGAACAAACUUCUACAAGCAGUUAAAAGAAAAAAAAAACAAAUCACAAAGGAAAGCCCAUCAGAAUCACAGCAGACUUCUCAACACAAACCCUCAAGGCAAGAAGAGCCUGGAGUGAAGUAUUUCAAGCCAAAUUAAUGUACCCUACAAAACUAUCUUUCAAAAUCGAUGGAAAAGAUACUUUCAUGACAAAGAGGAACUUCAUGAAUACCAAACCAGCACUUGAAAAAGUUUUAAACAGUAUCUUAGGAAAUGACAAUGAGGGUCACAACCCCAAGAAACCCAGCAGAAUGAAUCCAUCACACAUGAAAAGAAAUUAAACGCAAAGAGG